AAGAAAAUGAGCCUAUUGACACAUUUUGUAAUUCCACAAGCCUUGUAUGUAAUCAUUUCUUCGUGUCAUUGUUUUUUCGAACUGGCAACAUUGUUUCUCGCCUAGGUUCAAUUCGAUUUUAUGUGACCUAAACACACUCAUGGCAAUGUUAAUUUGCCUCAAUUGAAUACUUGAAUAUUGAGCAGACAGAGAAAUACAACAUUGACAUUUUCAGAACCCCCGAAAAGAAGCCUGCAAACAUCUAAUUGGAAGUGGAAGUCAUCUCGCUGUUCCAACUUCUGGCUGCUCUACCCAAAUGCCUGCAGAUGGCAGAGCAGGCAACAGAUGGCACACAGACAGCAGAGCUGGGGACAGAUAUGCAGGGACAGACUGGCAGAGACAGGGAGUCUCAGGUGCAUAUGAGGCUUCGUGGGCCUGUUCUACAUGCCAUGUGUAUGUAAAUGAAGUCUACGUCGACAGGCAGCCCCAACCUGAGGAGAGAGGCAAAAUCCCCGAUCUUAGCUGUGCACAUAGCAUCUCUUGCUUUUAGUUGUAUCAAAUGACUGCUCGCCACUGGGAGGAUGACGUGUUGGAUAUGGCCCCUCUGCUCCAGGAGAACUCGUCUGCGCUGCCAGAUCAUCCUGACCCCAGAGAUGGAUGGCAUCGGGGUCACCCUGCCCAAGGUCACACGCAACUUCUAUGUGGACGGGCACGUGCCCGCACACCACUAAGUUUAGGGAAGAGAGAGGCUGAGACCCAAAGAGAGCGGUGAGGAUCAAAGCGAGAACUGAGUGAGGAUUAAAGUGAGCUGAGUUAGGGUGAAAGAGGAAGUGCCAUUGCUCAUGGAAGCUCCUUGUGGCACAUAAAUGUCUUAGGUGUGUGGAUAGCAUGGUAUUAGGGUAAAUGCCUAGCCAGGUUUACUGUACAUUUUCUUCGUCUUAACUUUCAAAAUGAUCUUAUGAAUAGGAGUGUACUGUACCCCUCCUCCCUGAGAUAGACCAAAUUCCUCCAUGGAUUCAUACUGUGCUUAGCAAGUUGAAAAGAGAGUUACAAGUUGGACUAAUACAAAUGUGUCCACACAAAUUGCACAAGGUAAGUCCUGUUAGUGUACCCGGCCACACGCUGCUGCUUCAACAGCAUAGCUUCUUGGCUCACCAGCUCGCACUGAGACUAGAUUUCCCAUCCUCUGUCUUGCAAACGCACCUCACCACCCUCUUGAAAUACCUUUAACCAGCUACGCCAGCAAAAAAAUAAAAAAUAAACUCAGAGGAGUGAGUUUAGAAAACUCAACUCGGUUACAUUAGGAUACUAAAGGUCUUGGGAACUUUAAGUUCCUUGAAGUUGUAUAUUGCAGCUGGUUCAAAAACACUUAUCACCUGGAGUCUACACCGUCUUCACCUGGAGUCUACACCGUCUUCACCUAAAGUCUACACCGUCUUCACCUGGAGUCUACACCGUCUUCACCUGGAGUCUACACCGUCUUCACCUGGAGUCUACACCGUCUUCACCUGGAGUCUACACCGUCUUCACCUGGAGUCUACACCGUCUUCACCUAAAGUCUACACCGUCUUCACCUGGAGUCUACACCGUCUUCACCUGGAGUCUACACCGUCUUCACCUGGAGUCUACACCGUCUUCACCUGGAGUCUACACCGUCUUCACCUGGAGUCUACAAUGUCUUCACCUUGUCAGUUGUGUGUAUCUUCUGUUGCCAGUACAGCAUUGAAGUAAAGCAAAUGAACUUGAAGCCAUGAGAUGUAGAUCACAUAGUGGUUGAUAAUGAAUUUAAAACACAUGUACCUUAUCAUGUAAUGACCAAAAGAGUGCCAAGCUCCACUGCCAGAUUUUCAAAAAUGUAAGCGCUGUGAUACGUUGCAUCAAUUAGUCUGUAAGAGAAGUUUCAUCUAGCAAAAUAUUUUUGUUGAUGAGUUCGGAAUCUUCUCAAAUAACAUCAUCUGAAAGCACAAUCAUCCAUUCUGGAGUGGGGGAGUCUAAAGUGACUUGUAUCCAAGCCAAGCUCAUUGGCCACUGUGUAGAACAGGCAACAAUGAAUUACCCUUUUCCUGUCAAAUGGAAAUCCAACUUUUGGUUUACUGUGAGGAGAUGUUCUUAUUUUUACUGAAUGAUUGCUUGUUAGUAUUGUUGUUACAAUGCUCUACCCUCCCUUGCUUCAGGCAAAAGUGUCAUAAGACUUGUCUAAGUCCAGCUGUUGUAAAAAGCUGUGAUUGCAUUUUAGAAGGAGUAAUGGUUAUAUACAGAAAAUAGAGACAGCGAGAGACAGAUUUCAGAGGGUUUUUUCACACAUUUAUUGUAAUUGAAUUAGAUUGGAAGUUUCAACAUGAUCCAACAGUUUAAUAUAAAUAAGUAGGCAAAUAAAUAAAUAUAUCAAUAAAUAUCCUGAGGUUUACAUGAAUACAUUAGUUUGAGGGUCAAGUAGGAUGUGACGUUAUUCAUACGAAAUCAUUCCAAUACAACCGGAAUGCAUGUAAAUCUCAAUGAAACGAAAACUAUUUAUGAAAUAAAAAGCAAAUAUAAGCUUAGUACAUAGUACUUGGUUGUAUAUAAGAAA